GUAGAACUCAGUGUUUAUACUGUUGGGUUGUAAGCUAUCCAAGCGAAAUAUGAGAUGCUGUUCCUCCAGUUUGUGUGUUGCCUCACUCUGGCAAUGGAGGAGGUGCAGGAUAGAAGGGUCAGUAUGGGACUGGAAGGAGAGGUUGAAACAGACCG